rnacentral:tRNA from 1 species
AGCGGCUGUAGUUUAGUGGUAAAACUACAGCCUUCCAAGCUGUUGUCGCGAGUUCGAUUCUCGUCACCCGCUU